rnacentral:lncRNA from 1 species
AUUUGAUCCUAUCCACAAGGGUGGAGUACCUCGCCCAGGACCGCACAGCUAGACAAUGGCAAGCUGGGUGCUGGCUCUGGGUUCACAGGCAAUUUGGAGGCAGCUGCCUCUCUAAGGACCCGGGGUGUCACCAUUGUGCAGAGCCUGUUGAACUCAACGCAGGAAAGUAAAGCAGGCCUUGCUAAGAAGACACAUUUAAUUCCACCACCAGCGUUUUUAUUGUGCACCUGCUGUGUACACGGCAACAAAGUAAUUGAACUCAGGACCUUGUGCUUACCAGGCAGGAGUGGCACCACUGAGCUACCUCCCUGGGCUUAUUCUUCUAUUUUGUACUGAG